rnacentral:lncRNA from 1 species
GUGACCAUGAUAUGAUGGACGCAUGAACUGCGGCGGUCUUGGUCCGUUGGCACGGGAAGUCCUUGCAGCAGCUGGUGGAGGAGUGGGCUGAGUUGGACUCCCCACGUUUGGGACAGAAAGGGAGAAGUGCUGUUGCGGUGGAGGUGGAGGGGAGUGAUAAUCCCAGCUGUGAUAGUGUGGAUCCACAGGGAAGCCAUAAGGAGCUGGGACUUCACUGGAAACCGAUGAGCCGGUGUUCCAAGUGAAAGUUGAACUCUCUGAAACGCCGCCUGCAGCACCUCCAGUGGAUGAGGAAGAGGAAUGAACCGGGCCAAUGUAGGUUACGUAUGGACAUGGGUGACCUGCUGUUGGCGCUGCUGGUUCUGUAAAGUGCCACAUAACAAAAGCAAAGAUCAAAACCACCUUAUGCUAACCCGGACCCAAACCGGCUCGAACCGCACCGUCACCACCAACCAGGGGGAAGUAGCAGUCUCUCUCCAAACCAUUACAUACCAUUUCAUUUGUGUUUUUUUUUUUUAAAGAUUAUCAAUUCAUCACAUAACUUUGAGCAUGCAGGUUUUUUUCUCAAAUUAUCAAAUUCCCAAUUGUUUUCUUUUUUUAUGUUUUUUUCGGGUCCAACGUUCAUGAGCAUUGCCUCUCACCGGCUGGCUUACGAUGAUCCUCCGCCGCCAUGCCUCUGAAGGAAGCUUCCUGACCCUUCAUUGAAAGAAGAUGUCCAAAUGGAUGGUUCUCUAUCCAUCUGGUUAACCGGGUACGCCUGCUGCAACGGCAUAUAAGGCUCCCUCUCCCAUAUGUUAAACCGGAGAAACCCGCUCCCCCCUGCCUGAUCCGAAGAAGACGAAGCUGAUCCUCUACUGGGCCUCCGUCCAGACGGGUAUACAGGCCCACGAGAGACAAUAGGUGAGUCUGGUUGUUGGUGUGACUGUGCAGUAGACUGUUGGUAAUAGGCUUGAAGAGCUUGCGUUCUGUCACGUGUCCGUGCGUUGCUUCCCGGAAAAGGCGGCGCCACCGAGCUCCCAGCUCUACCACUUGAACUGCAAAGACCACCACCAAUAUAAGGGCUGUUAAUAAUUCCACUUUCAAGUCAAGAGGGAGAAGAUAUGUUACCUGUGACCAUGAUAUGAUGGACGCAUGAACUGCGGCGGUCUUGGUCCGUUGGCACGGGAAGUCCUUGCAGCAGCUGGUGGAGGAGUGGGCUGAGUUGGACUCCCCACGUUUGGGACAGAAAGGGAGAAGUGCUGUUGCGGUGGAGGUGGAGGGGAGUGAUAAUCCCAGCUGUGAUAGUGUGGAUCCACAGGGAAGCCAUAAGGAGCUGGGACUUCACUGGAAACCGAUGAGCCGGUGUUCCAAGUGAAAGUUGAACUCUCUGAAACGCCGCCUGCAGCACCUCCAGUGGAUGAGG